AUUGAACGCUGGCGGCAGGCCUAACACAUGCAAGUCGAGCGGAUGAUGGGAACUUGCUCCUGGAUUCAGCGGCGGACGGGUGAGUAAUGCCUAGGAAUCUGCCUGGUAGUGGGGGACAACGUUUCGAAAGGAACGCUAAUACCGCAUACGUCCUACGGGAGAAAGCAGGGGACCUUCGGGCCUUGCGCUAUCAGAUGAGCCUAGGUCGGAUUAGCUUGUUGGUGAGGUAAUGGCUCACCAAGGCGACGAUCCGUAACUGGUCUGAGAGGAUGAUCAGUCACACUGGAACUGAGACACGGUCCAGACUCCUACGGGAGGGAGCAGUGGGGAAUAUUGGACAAUGGGCGAAAGCCUGAUCCAGCCAUGCCGCGUGUGUGAAGAAGGUCUUCGGAUUGUAAAGCACUUUAAGUUGGGAGGAAGGGUUGUAGAUUAAUACUCUGCAAUUCUGACGUUACCGACAGAAUAAGCACCGGCUAACUCUGUGCCAGCCGCCGCCGUAACAC
rnacentral:rRNA from 1 species